CGCAUCUGUGCAUGCAGCAUAUCAAUAAGCGGAGGAAAAGAAACUAACAAGGAUUCCCCUAGUAACGGCGAGUGAAGCGGGAAGAGCUCUAAUUUGAAAUCUUAAAGGGUUUCCCCUUACGAAUUGUAGUUUAAAGAAGUGUUUUCUGUUGAGGUUUUGGUAAAAGUUCUUUGGAAUAGGACAUCAUAGAGGGUGAGAAUCCCGUAUUUGACCUUUACUUUCAACUUUGUGAUACACUUUCAAAGAGUCGGAUUGUUUGGGAAUGCAGUCCAAAAUGGGUGGUAAAUUUCAUCUAAAGCUAAAUAUUGGCGAGAGACCGAUAGCGAACAAGUACCGUGAGGGAAAGAUGAAAGAACUUUGAAAAGAGAGUUAAACAGUACGUGAAAUUGUCAAAAGGGAAGCGUUUGACACCAGUGUUGUUUUUCUGAAAAUCAAUUAAAGAACUGUUUAUGCUAAGUUGUUUAGACUUUAUCAGCUAACUGUUUAGUUUUGAGCUUUUCUUUAAUGCACUUUUCAGUUAACAAGUCAACAUCAAUUUCUUUUGCUGUAAAAAAGCUUGAGGAAGGUGGCUUGAGAUUCGUCUUAAGUGUUUAUAGCCUCUUGCCUAUGCAGUCGGAGAGAUUGAGGUCUGCAGCGUAGAUCCUUCGGGGCUAAAUGCAUUUGUGCUAAGUUAUAGCAUUUUAUAGACAACUUGUUGACUAUGAUUUGUCUUGUAGCUUACUCGCUUAUGUUAUUUUACCUACGCUUAGGAUGUUGAAUCUGUGCGAGACUAC
rnacentral:rRNA from 1 species